AGUGAACGCUGGCGGUAGGCCUAACACAUGCAAGUCGAACGGCAGCACAGAGGAGCUUGCCCCUUGGGUGGCGAGUGGCGGACGGGUGAGGAAUACAUCGGAAUCUACUCUGUCGUGGGGGAUAACGUAGGGAAACUUACGCUAAUACCGCAUACGACCUACGGGUGAAAGCAGGGGAUCUUCGGACCUUGCGCGAUCGAAUGAGCCGAUGUCGGAUUAGCUAGUUGGCGGGGUAAAGGCCCACCAAGGCGACGAUCCGUAGCUGGUCUGAGAGGAUGAUCAGCCACACUGGAACUGAGACACGGUCCAGACUCCUACGGGAGGCAGCAGUGGGGAAUAUUGGACAAUGGGCGCAAGCCUGAUCCAGCCAUACCGCGUGGGUGAAGAAGGCCUUCGGGUUGUAAAGCCCUUUUGUUGGGAAAGAAAUCCAUCUGGUUAAUACCCGGGUGGGAUGACGGUACCCAAAGAAUAAGCAUCGGCUAACUUCGUGCCAGCAGCCGCCGUAA
rnacentral:rRNA from 1 species